AUUGAACGCUGGCGGCAGGCCUAACACAUGCAAGUCGAGCGGAUGAAGGGAGCUUGCUCCUGGAUUCAGCGGCGGACGGGUGAGUAGUGCCUAGGAAUCUGCCUGGUAGUGGGGGAUAACGUCCGGAAACGGGCGCUAAUACCGCAUACGUCCUGAGGGAGAAAGUGGGGGAUCUUCGGACCUCACGCUAUCAGAUGAGCCUAGGUCGGAUUAGCUAGUUGGUGGGGUAAAGGCCUACCAAGGCGACGAUCCGUAACUGGUCUGAGAGGAUGAUCAGUCACACUGGAACUGAGACACGGUCCAGACUCCUACGGGAGGCAGCAGUGGGGAAUAUUGGACAAUGGGCGAAAGCCUGAUCCAGCCAUGCCGCGUGUGUGAAGAAGGUCUUCGGAUUGUAAAGCACUUUAAGUUGGGAGGAAGGGCAGUAAGUUAAUACCUCGCUGUUUUGACGUUACCAACAGAAUAAGCACCGGCUAACUUCGUG
rnacentral:rRNA from 1 species